rnacentral:ncRNA from 2 species
UGCGUCAAGGGCGAUGGAGUUCGCCAUAAUUGCUACAAAAUAGCUGAUAACUCCUGUAGAAGU